rnacentral:rRNA from 1 species
AUUGAACGCUGGCGGCAUGCUUUACACAUGCAAGUCGAACGGUAACAGGCCGCAAGGUGCUGACGAGUGGCGAACGGGUGAGUAAUGCAUCGGAACGUGCCCAGUCGUUGGGGAUAACUACUCGAAAGGGUAGCUAAUACCGCAUACGAUCUAUGGAUGAAAGCGGGGGACCGUAAUGCCUCGCGCGAUUUGAGCGGCCGAUGUCAGAUUAGGUAGUUGGUGGGGUAAAGGCUGACCAAGCCAACGAUCUGUAGCUGGUCUGAGAGGACAACCAGCCACACUGGGACUGAGACACGGCCCAGACUCCUACGGGAGGCAGCAGUGGGGAAUUUUGGACAAUGGGCGCAAGCCUGAUCCAGCAAUGCCGCGUGCAGGAAGAAGGCCUUCGGGUUGUAAACUGCUUUUGUACGGAACGAAACGGCUCUGGUUAAUACCCGGGGAUAAUGACGGUACCGUAAGAAUAAGCACCGGCUAACUACGUG